rnacentral:rRNA from 1 species
AUCCCUGAUAAGUGAGAACUCCUGGAAUGGAUUCUCGCUGAAAGGACGUUUAGACCAUGCUUCUAGGCGUCGCCCAAGGAGGGGGCCGCGACCGAUCAGGUUGUUGGUGAGGUAACGGCUCACCAAGCCUUUAACCGGUACGGGCCGUGAGAGCGGAAGCCCGGAGAUGGGCACUGAGACAAGGGCCCAGGCCCUACGGGGCGCAGCAGUCGCGAAAACUCCGCAAUACACGAAAGUGUGACGGGGCCAUCCCGAGUGCCAUCCGCUGAGGAUGGCUUUUCCCCAGUGUAUAAAGCUGGGGGAAUAAGGAGAGGGCAAGCCUGGUGUCAGCCGCCGCGGUAAUACCAGCUCUCCGAGUGGUGGGGAUGUUUAUUGGGCCUAAAGCAUUCGUAGCCUGCUUGGCAAGUCCUCCGUUAAAUCCAACGAUUCAAUCGUUGGGCUGCGGGGGAUACUGUCCAGCUAGGGGGCGGGAGAGGCCGACGGUAUCCCCGGGGUAGGGGUGAAAUCCUAUAAUCCCGGGAGGACCACCAGUGGCGAAGGCUGUCGGCUAGAACGCGCUCGACGGUGAGGGAUGAAAGCUGGGGGAGCGAACCGGAUUAGAUACCCGGGUAGUCCCAG